UCCCGUCCCGGGCAGCCAGCGCCAGUCGGAGCCAGCGCGAGCCGCCGCCGCCGCCGUCGCCGCCGCCGCCGCCGCCGCCGCUGCCGAGUCGCCCGCCCGCCUCCCCCGCCAUGUCGGCUACCGCUGCCACCGCCCCCCCUGCCGCCCCGGCUGGGGAGGGGGGCCCCCCCGCGCCCCCUCCAAACCUCACCAGUAACAGGAGACUGCAGCAGACCCAGGCCCAAGUGGAUGAGGUGUGUUAGGCAUGUUCUCUGUGUGUCCUUGGCAUGUUAGCCUGGCAACAUCGGGGUGCAUGUUCCCUCUGUGGGUGCAUGAUUGAGGAGUGCCCUCAUUGAGGCGGCCUUGGCACACCCCCUGCCUCGUGGGCCCCUCCCCCAGGUGGUGGACAUCAUGAGGGUGAACGUGGACAAGGUCCUGGAGCGGGACCAGAAGCUGUCAGAGCUGGACGACCGUGCAGAUGCACUCCAGGCAGGGGCCUCCCAGUUUGAAACAAGUGCAGCCAAGCUCAAGCGCAAAUACUGGUGGAAAAACCUCAAGAUGAUGAUCAUCUUGGGAGUGAUUUGCGCCAUCAUCCUCAUCAUCAUCAUCGGUGAGUAGGGCAGGAGUGGCUAGGGCCCUUUCUCUGGAGAGGUUUCCCCUUCUAGGUUUUGAAGGUCGUUAACCUAGUUUUUACUAGUCAGCAAAAAGCACAUAUGGCUGCCAGUGCAGCUCUGAUUCAUCUGGAGCCCCAAAUCUUGCUGUUGUUUAGCCUGCACUUUGCCUGGUUGUGGGCAACUCUUGUUAAGAUUUUUGGAAACAGGAAAGCUGGUGGAUCCCCACUGGUCCCUUGAGGAUCCUUUUUGGGCCUAAACCUACUCUGGGAACCCUGGAAUUGGGGAGUGGGAGACCAGGCAAGGCCCAGGGGCUUCAGACAUGGCUAGGAAGCCAAACACCCUGCUAUUUGAGAACUUGAGGGCCCAGAGAGCCCAGAGGAUUAGGAGUCUGUGGCCCCAAGGCCAUACCGUGGAGUUGUAGAGACUUUGGAACCUGCCAGUCCAGCCCCUUGCUUUACAGAUGGAGAACCUAAGGCUGAGAGGGCUGGGGAGUGGGGAGGAUGGGAGCAGGGCCAGGCCUGACACACUGCUUUCUCUCUCUCUCUUUCUCCCCCCUCUCUCUUCGUCCUUCUCUUUCCCUCUCUACAGUUUACUUCAGCUCUUAAACCCCUGAGGAGCCCGCCCUGCCCAGAGAAGGGCCUCUCCCCACCUCCCCCCCCCAAUCCCCAGCCGCUCCUCCACCUCUCAGCCAUAUCUUCCAGCCCCCCUCCCCUGGAUCCGUGUGUGUGUGUCCCCGUGUGUGUGCCCUUCUGUAAAUAGCCAGCUGUUAUUUAUACAUAUAUAAUAUUAUAUAUAUUUGGUCUGUUUGUAGUUUUAUUACUAGAAGAUUUUUCCGGUUGUCCUUAACACCCCUUCCUGAGGUUCCCAUCUCUUUUCUCUUUCCCUCCUUCCCCUUUCCUCUCUUCCUAAUCAGCCCCGAACCCCUUCAUUUGCAUCUGCUAUGCAAUAGUCCCUCUUCCUCUCUUCCUUCCCUUGGAUUUAGCUGAUCCUUCCUCCCACCCUGGCCUUCCCUGUACCUCCACUCCCUAUUAAAAAAAAAAAAAACAAAAAACCCACAAAAAAAACCACAAAAAGCAACUGUCCAGGCCUCCCACGGUGCAUCUUCUUUGCAUCUUUGGGAGGCCCUGAGACUGGCCCCACUUGGUCCUAAGAAUCCCAAGGUCUUCUGGGAGCUUCCAGCAUGUUAAUUAGCAUUUAUUUACAUACUGACAUCCCUUUUGGUUUCCUCCUUUUUUGUUCCAUCGCUCUUCAUUCUUUCAACCCAUGUUUCUUUUUUACUGAGGAGUUAGUCCCCAUGGUCCUUGUAUCAGUCUUUCAUUUGCAUGACAUUACUUGCAGGUGGCGGGAGCCUGGGCUUUUGGGGAGCCAGGCUCUUCUGGCCCCCAGAAUCACCCCCUCCUAGCCCCUCUAGUCUGGUUUGCCUUCCUACCCCCAUUUUCCAAACCUCUGGUCCCCUCCUCCCCCUCCCCCCAGCUGGUGUGUAAGUGUCUUGGAGUUCAGUGUGUCAUGAUGGACCAAUAGUUUUGCCACUUGGAGUCUCUCCCCACAUUCCUGCUCCCCAGUUUUCAUGUGGGGCACUCAACCGACAUUCCCAUGGGGUCUCCCUCCCUCCCAUCCCCCUGAUCUGCCUCCUCCUCCUCCCACCAGGAGAGUUUGGGGGUUGGCCACAAUCUGACUCUUUUGGGAGAGAUGGCUGCCAGUGUGUGGGGGGUCAUCACUGCCUUGGGGAGGAGUGGGGCAGGGCAGAGAAUCCCCCCAAUUCCUGCCUGAAAUCUGGCCCCACCCUUGCUGGGGUUUGGACCUAAAACUCCCCUUCCCGGUUUGGGGGGGUGUUGCUCCCAUCACUGCCCAGCUCCUUUUGACUGCCCCCCUGAAUUCAGGGCGGGGGUACUAGUCACUGCCAAUGUGUGUAUGGGACUUGCUGGAAGAUGGGGAUUCUCGCCCCUCUCCAGGGCAGUUGAGCCCAGAGAGUUGUCUCCUCCUUAGGUGAAGUGAUAGAGGAAGGGUCUAAUGUCUUUUUAAAUGGCACAAUUUUAGGGGUCUGAGGGUGCAGUCCCUUAACCUGCUGGAGGGGACCCCCCCGAACUCUUUCUUCCCCCCACACUCAAGGUUUCUGUGUGGAGGGGGAGCAGGGAGAUCUAAGCUGUGGUGUGAAAGGGUAGGGAGAGAUGCUGGGGGUGGGGGUGCUGUGUUCUAGACCCCCCCAUAUUAUCCCAGUGUCCCCUGCCCCCCUUCCCUCCCCCCAUGCCCCCAAUUCUGUGACGCAUCCAGAUUGUGAAAAUGUACAAUAAAUGUGUAAUGAGUAACCA